UCUACGAGUCAUUAAAUCGCGGUGCGAAAAUGCCACCACAUGACCUAAUGGCGGCAACCCGCUGCCUUUUUGGCUUUAACUAACAAAUAUGCAGCGCAAAGGAGAAGCAGAGAGAGAGACAGACGCAAGAUGUUGCAAAAUCACAGAAAUAUUCGCCAAGAAGGGAGCAGGUCCAUUACCUAAGCCUCCUCUGAGGCAAAACACCUGGGGAUGCCAUGUGCAAGGUCUUGCAAACAAUUGGAAAGAACAGUGUUUGGUAUUAAAACAGCAUGAAAGGAAAAAAGGGGAAAGGAAAUUUGGAGAGCUAAACAUUUGCAGCGUGAUCAUUCAGCCCUGCCAAAAGAUCCACCCAAAAGUGCCAGUUAAGGUGUAAGAAGAGUGCAUUGCAGACACCUUGAAGUAUGUUCCUCAUCGUGAUUCAAGAAUGGAGCAUGAAGACACAGGCCAUGGACAGUGCUAGUUUUCAGCACUCACAUCCCACACACACACACAAAUUUAUAUAAGUUCUCACUGAUUCAAUGUUUUUAUUAAAGCUAGUUACAUUUUGCUGUAAAUUUAUAUUUUAUUGUCGUAAGUAUUAUGUUAUUAAGUAUUAUGUUACAUUUUAUAUCAUUUUUAUCUGUUAAUGAGUUACGUUGC